rnacentral:rRNA from 1 species
GCGGCAGGCCUUAUACAUGCAAGUCGGACGGUAACAUUGGUGCUUGCACCAGAUGACGAGUGGCGCACGGGUGCGUAACGCGUAUGCAACCUACCUUUUACUAGAGUAUAGCCCAGAGAAAUUUGGAUUAAUCCUCUAUAAUAUCUAUUAAUCUCAUGAUUUUUAGAUUAAAGUUUUAACGGUAAAAGAUGGGCAUGCGUCUUAUUAGUUUGUAGGUGAGGUAAUGGCUCACCUAGACUACGAUAGGUAGGGGCCCUGAGAGGGGGAUCCCCCACACUGGUACUGAGACACGGACCAGACUCCUACGGGAGGCAGCAGUAAGGAAUAUUGGACAAUGGACGAAAGUCUGAUCCAGCCAUGCCGCGUGCAGGAUGACAGCCCUAUGGGUUGUAAACUGCUUUUAUACAGGAAGAAACACUCCGACGUGUCGGAGCUUGACGGUACUGUAAGAAUAAGGAUCGGCUAACUCCGUGCCAGCAGCCGCGGUAAUACGGAGGAUCCAAGCGUUAUCCGGAAUUAUUGGGUUUAAAGGGUCCGCAGGCGGUCUUUUAAGUCAGAGGUGAAAGCCUACAGCUCAACUGUAGAACGGCCUUUGAUACUGAAAGACUUGAGUUAUUGUGAAGUGGUUAGAAUGUGUGGUGUAGCGGUGAAAUGCAUAGAUAUCACACAGAAUACCGAUUGCGAAGGCAGAUCACUAACAAUAUACUGACGCUCAUGGACGAAAGCGUGGGGAGCGAACAGGAUUAGAUACCCUGGUAGUCCACGCCGUAAACGAUGGAUACUAGCUGUUCGUCUAACAUUGGUUAGAUGAGUGGCUAAGCGAAAGUGAUAAGUAUCCCACC